CUUUGAGAUCCCAGCUAGUUCACUUUCUUCAGCCUCAACUUCCUCAAGGGUAAACUACACAGGAGGUGUGAAAGUUCGAGCCCAGCCUGAGCAACUUAGUAACUUGUGAAUAAAAAUUCAUAGCGUUAGAGCUGUUCUCAGUGGCACACACCUGAAAUCUCACCUGCUCAGGAGGAUGGCAAGUUCCAGGCCAGCCUGGGUAAUGUGAUCUGGCAACCCUACCUGGCACCAGGGACAGAACUUGUGUUCUUCAUUUUGCAGAUGAGGAAACACCCUCAAAGCGGGGAAAUAAUGGAGACUCAGGUCAUAAGUAGUUUCUUUGGAUCCAGGUCUCAGGGUCU
rnacentral:lncRNA from 1 species